UACGAGGGGGGCGAGCGUUGUUCGGAAUUAUUGGGCGUAAAGGGCGCGUAGGCGGUUGGAUAAGUCUUGUGUGAAAUCUUCGGGCUCAACUCGAAGUCUGCACGAGAAACUAUCUGGCUUGAGUGUGGGAGAGGUGAGUGGAAUUCCUGGUGUAGCGGUGAAAUGCGUAGAUAUCAGGAGGAACACCUGUGGCGAAAGCGGCUCACUGGACCACAACUACGCUGAGGCGCGA
rnacentral:rRNA from 1 species